CACGAAGUUAGCCGGGGCUUCUUCUCCGGGUACCGUCAUUAUCGUCCCCGGUGAAAGAAUUUUACAAUCCUAAGACCUUCAUCAUUCACGCGGCAUGGCUGCGUCAGGCUUUCGCCCAUUGCGCAAGAUUCCCCACUGCCGCCUCCCGUAGGAGUUUGGGCCGUGUCUCAGUCCCAAUGUGGCUGAUCAUCCUCUCAGACCAGCUACUGAUCGUCGCCUUGGUGAGCCUUUACCUCACCAACUAGCUAAUCAGACGCGGGCCGCUCUAAAGGCGAUAAAUCUUUCCCCCGAAGGGCACAUUCGGUAUUAGCACAAGUUUCCCUGAGUUAUUCCGAACCUAAAGGCACGUUCCCACGUGUUACUCACCCGUCCGCCACUAACUCCGAAGAGUUCGUUCGACUUGCAUGUGUUAGGCCUGCCGCCAGCGUUCGCUCUGAGCCAGGAUCAAACUCCU
rnacentral:rRNA from 1 species